rfam:Echinicola vietnamensis DSM 17526, complete genome.
UCAGGAGAUGCUGAAAACCUGUGAAUAGAGUAGGCG